rnacentral:tmRNA from 1 species
ACUGCGCUCGGAGAAGCUUUUACUGUGACGCCUUCGGACCGGGGUUCGACUCCCCGCACCUCCACCA